rnacentral:misc_RNA from 1 species
GAUGAAGAACGCAGCGAAAUGCGAUAAGUAAUGUAAAUUGCAGAAUUCAGUGAAUCAUCGAAUCUUUGAACGCACAUUGCGCCCGCCAGUAUUCUGGCGGGCAUGCCUGUUCGAGCGUCAUUUCAACCAUCAAGCCCCAGGCUUGUGUUGGGGACCUGCGGCUGCCGCAGGCCCUGAAAACCAGUGGCGGGCUCGCUGUCACACCGGGCGUAGUAGAUUUUAUCUCGCUCAGGGCGUGCUGCGGAUUCCGGCCGUUAAAAAGCCUUUUUUACCCAAGGUUGACCUCGGAUCAGGUAGGAAGACCCGCUGAACUUAAGCAUAUCAAUAAGCGGAGGA